GGGCCGUUAGCUCAGUUGGUAGAGCAGGAGACUCUUAAUCUCAGGGUCAUAGGUUCGAAUCCUAUACGGACCA
rnacentral:tRNA from 1 species